AUACGUAGGGUGCGAGCGUUGUCCGGAAUUACUGGGCGUAAAGAGCUCGUAGGUGGUUUGUCGCGUCGUCUGUGAAAUUCCGGGGCUUAACUCCGGGCGUGCAGGCGAUACGGGCAUAACUUGAGUACUGUAGGGGAGACUGGAAUUCCUGGUGUAGCGGUGAAAUGCGCCGAUAUCAGGAGGAACACCGGUGGCGAAGGCGGGUCUCUGGGCAGUAACUGACGCUGAGGAGCGAAAGCAUGGGUAGCGAACAGGAUUAGAUCCCCUGGUAGUCCAUGCCGUAAACGGUGGGCGCUAGGUGUAGGGGUCUUCCACGACUUCUGUGCCGUAGCUAACGCAUUAAGCGCCCCGCCUGGGAAGUACGGCCGCAAGGCUAAAACUCAAAGGAAUUGACGGGG
rnacentral:rRNA from 1 species